rnacentral:rRNA from 1 species
UACACGACCGUACCGCAAACCGACACUGGUGCGCGAGAUGAGUAUUCUAAGGCGCUUGAGAGAACUCAGGAGAAGGAACUCGGCAAAUUGACACCGUAACUUCGGAAGAAGGUGUGCCUUUAGUAGGUGAACCAUUUACUUGGGGAGCCCAAUGAGGCUGCAAAAAAUCGGUGGCUGCAACUGUUUAUUAAAAACACAGCACUCUGCUAAGACGAAAGUCGACGUAUAGGGUGUGACGCCUGCCCGGCGCUGGAAGAUUAAAUGAUGGGGUGCAAGCUCUUGAUUGAAGUCCCAGUAAACGGCGGCCGUAACAAUAACGGUCCUAAGGUAGCGAAAUACCUUGUCGGGUAAGUUCCGACCUGCACGAAUGGCGUAAUGAUGGCCACACUGUCUCCUCCUGAGACUCAGCGAAGUUGAAAUGUUUGUGAUGAUGUAAUCUCCCCGCGGAAAGACGGAAAGACCCCAUGAACCUUUACUGUAGCUUUGUAUUGGACUUUGAACAGAUCUGUGUAGGAUAGGUGGGAGGCUUUGAAGUGUGGUCGCUAGAUCGCAUGGAGCCAACGUUGAAAUACCACCCUGGUGUGUUUGAGGUUCUAACCUAGGUCCAUUAUCUGGAUCGGGGACAGUGCAUGGUAGGCAGUUUGACUGGGGCGGUCUCCUCCCAAAGUGUAACGGAGGAGUUCGAAGGUACGCUAGUUACGGUCGGACAUCGUGAUAAUAGUGCAAUGGCAUAAGCGUGCUUAACUGCGAGACUGACAAGUCGAGCAGAUGCGAAAGCAGGACAUAGUGAUCCGGUGGUUCUGUAUGGAAGGGCCAUCGCUCAACGGAUAAAAGGUACUCUGGGGAUAACAGGCUGAUACCGCCCAAGAGUUCAUAUCGACGGCGGUGUUUGGCACCUCGAUGUCGGCUCAUCUCAUCCUGGGGCUGUAGCCGGUCCCAAGGGUAUGGCUGUUCGCCAUUUAAAGAGGUACGUGAGCUGGGUUUAAAACGUCGUGAGACAGUUUGGUCCCUAUCUUCCGUGGGCGCUGCAGAUUUGAGGAAGCCUGCUCCUAGUACGAGAGGACCGGAGUGGACGAACCUCUGGUGUAUCGGUUGUCACGCCAGUGGCAUUGCCGAGUAGCUAAGUUCGGAAGAGAUAACCGCUGAAAGCAUCUAAGCGGGAAACUCGUUUCAAGAUUAGAUCUGCCGGGGCCUUGAGCCCCCUAAAGAGUCGUUCAAGACCAGGACGUUGAUAGGUCAGGUGUGGAAGCGAAA